CAGUAGCCGCGGGAAUACGUAGGGUGCGAGCGUUAAUCGGAAUGACUGGGCGUAAAGCGGGCGCAGACGGUUACUUAAGCAGGAUGUGAAAUCCCCGGGCUCAACCUGGGAAUUGCGUUCUGAACUGGGUGGCUAGAGUGUGUCAGAGGGGGGUAGAAUUCCACGUGUAGCAGUGAAAUGCGUAGAGAUGUGGAGGAAUACCGAUGGCGAAGGCAGCCCCCUGGGAUAGCACUGACGUUCAUGCCCGAAAGCGUGGGUAGCAAACAGGAUUAGAUACCCCCGUAGUCCCUGUCUCUUAUAC
rnacentral:rRNA from 1 species